rnacentral:rRNA from 1 species
UACGAAGGGUGCAAACGUUUGCUCGGAAUUAUUGGGCGUAAAGCGCACGUAGGCGGCUUAGCAAGUCCCAUGUGAAAGCCCACGGCUUAACCGUGGAAGUGCAUGGGAAACUGCUGAGCUUGAGUACUUAAGAGGAUCGCGGAAUUCCCGGUGUAGAGGUGAAAUUCGUAGAUAUCGGGAGGAACACCAGUGGCGAAGGCGGC